rnacentral:lncRNA from 1 species
GGGGCUGAUGAUCCUGUAGGAGGACAGGCAUAGGGCAGAGAGUCAGAUAUAGUUUGGGAUGGGACUUGCAGGUUUCUGGACUGUGCACCUGUGUUCAAAAGCCUGUAUCAGGUUCCAGUGUGCGUGCAUGCACCUGCCAGAGAGCCCCGGGAUCUCAGAUCACACCUGCCCUCACCCCAGCACCUAGAGAGGAGUUCUCCA